rnacentral:misc_RNA from 1 species
AAUUCUCAAUCUUCUACAGCUUUGUUAAGGCUAGUGAGAUUGGAAGUGGGGGUUGUUGUGGGUUCACCUAACUGAAUCUACUCCCCUAAAAACUAUUAGCUGGAAUGCCUUUGCAAAACCAACUAUCAGUAUGAUAAUUAUCUAUGCUGGAGUUGUUGUAAAAGGGAAUCUGCUUUCAAACUGUCAUCAUGACAAAAUGAAUCA